rnacentral:rRNA from 1 species
GAUCCAGAUUUUCCAGGAGCCGGAAUCCGGCGGUAUGGAACGUGUUAUCGUCGGCGUUGUCGGUGUUCUGCAGUUUGAGGAGUACCGGUUGUUCCACCAGGAGCACCGCCGGGUAGCCAAGUUUGGACGGGAUAAACGCUGAAGGCAUCUAAGCGUGAAGCCCCCCUCAAGAUAAGAUAUCCCAUAGCAUAAGCUAGUAAGACCCCUUAAAGACGAUAAGGUUGAUAGGUGGAAGGUGGAAGUGCAGUAAUGCAUGCAGCUGAUCCAUACUAAUAGGUCGAGGGCUUAACCAA